rnacentral:rRNA from 1 species
GUGGGGAAUAUUGGGCAAUGGGCGAAAGCCUGACCCAGCAACGCCGCGUGAGGGAAGAAGGUUUUCGGAUUGUAAACCUCUGUCCUUGGGGACGAAGGAAGUGACGGUACCCAAGGAGGAAGCCCCGGCUAACUACGUGCCAGCAGCCGCGGUAAUACGUAGGGGGCGAGCGUUGUCCGGAAUGACUGGGCGUAAAGGGCGCGUAGGCGGCUUGAUAAGUUAGAAGUGAAAGUCCUGCUUUCAAGGUGGGAAUUGCUUUUAAUACUGUUGAGCUUGAGUGCAGAAGAGGUAAGCGGAAUUCCAAGUGUAGCGGUGAAAUGCGUAGAGAUUUGGAAGAACACCAGUGGCGAAGGCGGCUUACUGGGCUGUAACUGACGCUGAGGCGCGAAAGCGUGGGGAGCGAACAGGAUUAGAAACCCGAGUAGUCC